UACGUAGGGUGCGAGCGUUAAUCGGAAUUACUGGGCGUAAAGCGUGCGUAGGCGGUUCGUCAAGUCUGAUGUGAAAGCCCCGGGCUCAACCUGGGAACUGCAUUGGAAACUAGCGAGCUUGAGUGUGGCAGAGGGGGGUGGAAUUCCACGUGUAGCAGUGAAAUGCAUAGAGAUGUGGAGGAACACCGAUGGCGAAGGCAGCCCCCUGGGCUAACACUGACGCUCAGGCACGAAAGCGUGGGGAGCAAACAGG
rnacentral:rRNA from 1 species